rnacentral:rRNA from 1 species
UACGGAGGGUGCAAGCGUUAAUCGGAAUUACUGGGCGUAAAGCGCGCGUAGGCGGCUAGAUAAGUCGGAUGUGAAAGCCCCGGGCUCAACCUGGGAACUGCAUACGAUACUGUUUGGCUAGAGUAUGAGAGAGGGAGGUAGAAUUCCACAUGUAACGGUGAAAUACGUAGAUAUGUGAAGGAAGACCGGUGGCGAAGGCGGCCUCCUAGCUUAAUACUGACGCUGAGGUGCGAAAGCGUGGGGAGCAAACAGG